AGCAGCCGCGGUAAUUCCAGCUCCAAUAGCGUAUAUUAAAGUUGUUGCAGUUAAAAAGCUCGUAGUUGAAUUUCGGGAUCAAUAUGUUGGUCGUGCCUCGGUACGUACUGGCUUAUUGAUUUCUCCUUUCUGAAGAACCAUGAUGUCAUUCAUUUGGUGUCGUGGGGAAUCAGGACUGUUACUUUGAAAAAUUAGAGUGUUUAAAGCAGGCUCACGCUUGAAUACAUUAGCAUGGAAUAAUGAAAUAGGACGUUUGAUUCUAUUUUGUUGGUUUCUAGGAUCGACGUAAUGAUUAAUAGGGAUAGUUGGGGGCAUUAGUAUUCAAUUGUCAGAGGUGAAAUUCUUGGAUUUUAUUGAAGACUAACUACUGCGAAAG
rnacentral:rRNA from 1 species